ACGCCACAUUAGACCUGGCAGACCACGCCCCCUCCCUGCUGACUCGGACAGACGCUGCUCGCCGCUGCACCGCCGUCGUUCUAAACAAGUUAUAAUGGUUAACAAGCAAAGGUCAGCAAACUUCUCUACUUAACAACAGCUAACAGCUAAUUUGGAGACCAAGACACACGAGCAGUUUCUCGAAAAGAGAGAAAGACCCAACUGAUGAAGGGAAAAAGAAUAAAGCAGUUAUCGUGAUGAAUUGAUCCAAUGCAAGAAACAACUCUUAAAGCAACAAGGGAUAGCAGCAAAGAAAGAGCAAGACUCAGCUUGCAUCUUCUACCACAGGAGACACAGCUGUAGCACAAAACUGAAGGACUGCAAUGGAAGACAUUAAAGGUAAAGUGAUAAGAAAGAUGGCCGUACUGUAGAAGUUACACAUAGGGUUAGUGUUGUCUUGUGAGAUCCAAUGAACGGUUGGUGUGUAAAUUACUUUUCUGUCCCUAGUAGUAGUAGAAGCAUAUAAAUAUCUUUGAGCAAGGCAGUUCCAUUUCAUACCAUCCAAAUAGGUCAACAUGCAAGGGUAUAUAAUAUUUCUAAUAGCAUCUAACACUUCACAGAAACUAUGAGCAUGAGGUUCUGCAGUAGGGGGUUGAACUGGAUAAAGGUUCCACCUUAAACGAAAGUUAUAGUUUUUAUUACAUGAACAAUCCACUUUUUCCAUCUCGAUUCUUCCAAGCAAAAGAAAGAUAAAAGAACACAUCCACAUCAUCAUUGCAAGGCUUAAUUUUCUUAUUUUUCUUUUUUUUUUAUAAGUUUCUUAAAUUGUUUAUGUUUUACAUGCGCUUAAAAAGCCAAUAAAGGACCCAAGGUGGACCUAGGGCGGUCUUCACACAUUCACAUCACCACAUGGGGUACGUUGUCAAGGCAAAAGAAAGGGCAGAGGUCAAAAGGUAAGGAGGGCGCCUCCGUCAUCUCUCUUUCUAUCGCUCUCUCCCACAGUGGGGGUUCACAUCCAACAAGUCUUACCAACUUCAAUGUCUAUCAUUUUCUGUUUAUCCUGCCGCGAUGCUCACUUUUUGUUCUGUUCCUGCUCUGCUUUAUCAGAUUUUUUUUUCUUUUUUUGAGGCUUGGAGAAGGCCGCCCCCUGCCGCCACUGAGGACAACUACACUAAUACAGACAAGAGCGCCUCAUCAGUUACAUACUGAAGAGUUGGGGUUUUGCCGUAUGCAACUAGCUACCAUCUCCAACGCUUGUGCAAAACAGAAAAGGGAACUGUUGAGUCGGGAGCCGGACACAAAGGUGAGCGGUGUGCCGAGAGCUGGAGAGACCCGGGACGAUGGAAAGAGAAAGGAGGAUCAGAUCACCUCACCCACAGAGCCUCUCACCUCGACACACUGAGCAGGGGGACUGAAGUUUGCCAAUAUGGCCAGCUUUCAAGAAAUCCCCCCUUGGCGCUCUCCCUGUGGUGAAGCUGAGGGGUCCCCCGCAUUGCACUGUGGGAGAUGCCAACCUCAGCCCCGGACCACCCUUCAGAUGUAUUCAGUGCGCCCUGGGAAGUGCGGUCCUCAGCUCUCCAGACUCAUGAAGGCCACCACCUGCUCCAGCUUGAAAGCCAACCUCUGUUUCCUGGCUGCAUCAUCCUGCUCCAGCGAACACACAAUCUGCCAACAGGACAGUGAGGUAAACACACAGAAUAACAAAACCUCAGUUAAACUUACUAAUCAAUACGGCAAUACGAUGUCCCAAUGUGUUCUGUAUUUGCUUACUUAACUCUAGUGGGAAUAAAAGAAAAAUACGACAGAAACACAAUCUAUACCUUCAAGAUAGUACCUUCCUCCUUUUGCAUUACAUUAAUUUUCCUGGCAGGGUAUUGAACCCCCCGUCACUGCACCAAAGUCAGUGGUGUAACCCACUAAGCUGCCUAAUAAUUUCAUAUGUGAGCACUGGGAAUUGAACCUCUGCCGCCCGCGCUCUGGACAACAUUACUAACUAUUACAACAACGUGUUAUCCUCCUUGUGGAGGAGUGCAGCUUUAGGCUACAUCCACAUUACUUUGUUUUCGUUUUAAAACGCAAUGUGGCUGCUGUACCUCACAGAGGAGCAAGCUUACAGCAGAUGUGUAUUGCCACUGGAAAUUGUCAUCUGACGUUCUGGCCACCAUAAUCCAAAUGAGAAAAAAAGGUGGAUGAAGAUAUUGAUACAAUCACCUAGGUAACCCUCCGUAAUAACUUACCAGCAGCAGCUAGUAUUGUGUGGAUUUGUUUUCCAAACAUGUUAAACUCUGACCUCUGCCUGCCGUCACAAAAACUGGCACAAGCAGCCAGGCACAGAACGCACAAUGGAGGAAAAGCUGAUAUUGUGUGUGCCUUAAGUUUAGGUCGGUACAGAGACCUUGGUAUCUCAGGUGUGUUUUAACAGGCAGGUAGCUUGUUGUAGGUCGUGAAAAUGUGUAAACAUAGCUUAGAUUCAUGUACUACUUUUGUGUACUAAAACUUCAGUCACAGUGUAACAUACCUCCUCAGUGUAUUUGCCAACGUAGGAGUAAAUCUCACUGAGAGAGCUCAUGGUGUUGAACUCAUUCAUGUGCAUCCGUGACUGUUCUGCCAAGUAGGCAUUCAUGUCCUGGUCGCUGAUCGCUUGCAUCUUACUAAUGUCGGAGUAGUACCUGUUAAAAGAGAACAAAACAAAAGCAUCAACACUUGUUUACUGCCGAGAGACGAACAGAAAGAGAAACCCAGUGCUGUUCCUUGAAUAUAUUUAACUAAUGCAUGUUGCACAGAGGCAACAAGUGUGUUGCAUAGGCACUGAAAUGGAGUCGUGAUACACACCAACAGGCCCAAGGUUUCAUCUUUGAACACAACACACACACACACACACACACACACACACACACACACACACACACACACACACACUGCAUUGAGGUAAAGGCAAUCAGUCACUGUCAGCAGCAGCUGUGUUGCCGCUAUCAACUAUGUUAAUUAAAGCUGCUUAUUUACAUAUUAACUUCGUGGAGCCGCUAGAGGACAGGUCUGGUGUUUGGCUGGGUAACUCUGGUGUGAGAGGCGGAGACACUAUUUGCCAGGAAACGAGUCUUCAGAGCAAAGGAAAAGGCAGGUGGGUGUUGCUCAUAGCUUUUGCACAGAGGUCACACACACACACACACACACACACACACACACACUCACACACACACACACACACACACACACACACACACACACACACACACACACACACACACACACACACACACCUGUUCAGUGCUGGAGGGCAGUUGUAGAGAGCUCGGCACAGGGAUUGUUAGUGUAGAGACCAGGUGUGCUUGUCUUAGGAAAAAGGAUUUUAUAAACAAAGAGUCGCGAGGUUGUAGUGUAGAUGUAGUUAACCUACGACUUGCUGCACUUGCUUUUGAAUUGUUUGUAUUGUGUAUAUAUAUCAGUAACAGUUAUUUAUAAGCCAAUUAUUUCAGACAUGGGUUAGUUUUUUAAUCACUACAGCUGUAGCUUUUCAGCCUUCCAAUCUAUUUUCUAUUUCUGCAUCCACGUUGUGGCAAGAACAGGUUUGAGCUCUUUGGAAUUAAUUGGUAAGAAAAUGUGUUCUGAUCUCCAUCUAAGUCACGAAUAAAGAGUGCUGGUGGAAAAUGAGAGUGUGAACCCUUAGAUAAAGUGACUGGUCAAACCUCCAACAAGCACUUUUCUCUCGCUGCAGUUCAGGAAGAUUUUCCGAGCGUUCUUCCUGCAGAGCUGCUUCAGAUCAGACAUAUUCUUUGGAUGUCUGGUGUGAAGGGCUCUCUGAACUCAUUCCACAGCAUCUCUCCUGAGUUAAGGUCCGGACUCUGGACUGACCACUGCCAAUGGUGGAUUUUCUUUCUGAAGUCACUCUGUGGUAAAUUUACUCUGAUGUUCAGGGUCUUUGUCCUGUAAGAUAGGUCGAUAAACUUUCCCGUGACGAUGGCGAGUUGUCCGGACCCAGAAACAGAGGAGGGGUUCUCACACUUUUCAAACCUGCACUGUGAAUGUCCGAUGUAUUCAAUAUGGAAGAGAACAAUUCAAUGUUUAAUUUUUUAUUAAUUUCAACUUCGAUGAGCAACCGACCAUAUUUAAUUGUUUCAUGCCACUGUACAUUGUGGACAAAGGUUUUUUGGACUAGACAUUAAUCAAUUUGCACUUCUAUGGAAGAGGGUCACCUCUUUUUUGAAGAAUUAGUUAUUAACUAAUGCUAAUAAAUAUAAUAAAUGCUUUUACAAUUUCUGUCCUUCAUUCGGCAUUUUAAAUCUUCCUGAACUAUGUUCAUGUACACAUAAAAAUGUCAGCUGAAAAUUCUGCUUAUGCUGCACUGUACAAUAGAAGUUGCAGUAUUCUGUCCUCACAAAUCAUUUUUUCUGCUUACACUAUCUAAAUGUGUCCAUGCAUGAAUCAGCAGAGGACCCUCACAAUGUCCUCAUGCUUAUUUGUCUUUAUGAGACCACAUACAGACAAACAGGACUAAUGAGUGCAGUCCUGAGCCUGAAGCUCCUCAUUUGAUUCGACCCAUUCAAGCGGCACACACACACACAUUCUCAUCCCGAGGCUCGCCUUGUGAUGAAGCGGCUACAGACACGUAAAUACUCUGAACCAAUUCACAGAAGCCCAUCUUUUAUUCAGGACAGGGGAGACUCGCCUCCCCUGAUGACAAAUAAAUUUAAUAAAACUCUCAUUUUACAAAUUACCAGCUUCUGCUCCCUGCUACUCUCUCUCUUUUCCCCGACACACACUUCUGCAUCCUCCCAACACACACUCCUCUGUUCUGUAGAUCUCGUACCCUGGGCCCUCUCAUCUAUUCCUACUGUGUUGUAAUUUGGAUGUGUUUAAUGGCCCAUAGAUCACAGUGCUACAGUUGAGUGUGUUUUGAAUGAAACAUGGCUAAUGCAGGUCCCCCGCCCCCAUCCUCUCAUCAUCCAUCCCAUGUUUGAUGUGUCCACAUGUGUAUCCACAGCUUACCUCUCCACCCAGCUCUUGUA